GACGAACGCUGGCGGCGUGCUUAACACAUGCAAGUCGAACGAAGUGGCGAACGGGUGUGUAACGCGUAAUCAACCUGCCCUUCAGAGGGGGAUAACAGUUGGAAACUACUGCUAAUACCGCAUACUGUAGGUUGGGAUUGCGUUUGAUUAGCUAGUUGGAUGGGUAACGGCCCACCAAGGCGAUGAUCAGUAGACGGACUGACGGGUAGAACGGCCACUAUGGGAGUGAGACACGGCACAGAGUCCUACGGGAUGCAGCAGUGGGGAAUCUUCCGCAAUGGACGAAAGUCUGACGGAGCAACGCCGCGGGAGUGAUGAAGGCCUAGGGGUUGUAAAGCUCUGUUAAUCGGGACGCGGUACCGAAAUAGAAAGCCACGGCUAACUACGUGCCAGCAGCCGCGGUAAUUC
rnacentral:rRNA from 1 species